UUUAUACCCUUAUUGAAUUGAAUUGUAUACUCCAAUAUAACCUAUUCCAAUGCUUAACAUUCAUUACACACACAUUUCCUAUACAAAAAAAUUGGAGGCAAAUUUUAGUAAACAAAGAGUCACAUAAAUGGUCUACCACCAUGUAUAGGAGGAGUUACAUUGGAAUUAAGAAUAGUGGUUUAGUAUAUUGAUAAUUACAAGAGACAACAAUCAAUUAAGACCAAGGUUAUUUUUGGAAUUAAACAUAACAUUUUAGAAUUUUUAAUAAAAAAAAUAGGUUUCCUU
rnacentral:lncRNA from 1 species